GACGGAGGGUGCUAGCGUUGUUCGGAAUGACUGGGCGUAAAGGGCGCGUAGGCGGUUUUAUCAGUCAGGCGUGAAAGCCCUGGGCUUAACCCAGGAAUUGCGUUUGAUACUGUAAGACUAGAGUGCGAGAGAGGAAAGUGGAAUUCCUAGUGUAGAAGUGAAAUUCGUAGAUAUUAGGAGGAACACCAGAGGCGAAGGCGGCUUUCUGGCUCGCAACUGACGCUGAGGCGCGAAAGCGUGGGGAGCAAACAGG
rnacentral:rRNA from 1 species